ensembl:snRNA U6 U6 spliceosomal RNA
UUGCUCUGGGAGCAAAUAUACUAAAACUGGAACAAUGCAAGAUUAGCAUGGCCCCCAUGCAAAAUUGAUAUACAAAUUCAGGAAUCAUUUCAUGCUUCU